AUUACCCGGAUACGCAUAAUUUCGCGAUUAUAAUUUUAGGACGAACGAAGAAAAGAAACAGAAAAAGAAACUAUAGGAUAAGAAGAGAAACUAUGAUCGAAUAUGAGGGUAUUAGAAGGGUCGAACUCCGUCCAGAAGACAAGCGGAAUCCUAUGAAAUACGUGGAGAACGAAGCGAGAGAUAGGGGUGAGGUGGAGGGUGGAGGAGUAAGGUGAAGUUAGAGAGGAAGGAGCGGGAGGCACUAGGUGCUGUUUGUUGAAUCCUCGAGAUCAAUACAACCCGGUCUAUCUCUUUCUGCCCUCGUAAUUCCGUGUGCCUAAAUGUGCGCGGGCACGUUCGACGUGUGUUGAUGGUGAUUGUGGUGGUGGUGGUGGUGCACAAUGUUGCACUCAAACGCACACGUUCAAACGUAUCGUGUGUGUGUGUGUGUGUGUAUAUAUAUAUCGGUCGCGGCGAAAUGCGACGCGUCAAGAUGAGAAAGCGACAGAGAGCAAAUGAAACGCGCCUCCGUGUUUCUGGCUACCAGUUUUAGCUAUGCGUGUCAAUAUUUUAAAAGCAUCCCGGAGAUACUCGCUAAAAGACAAACGAAUAUUACGCCCCAAAUUCGUUUCAUCAACGCCACGAAACGUUCGAAAUAAUUCGCCCCGUUUUUUUCCUUUGUAA